ACUCCUACGGGAGACAGCAGUGGGGAAUAUUGGACACUGGGCGCAAGCCUGAUCCAGCCAUGCCGCGUGAGUGAUGAAGGCCCUAGGGUUGUAAAGCUCUUUCACCGGUGAAGAUAAUGACGGUAACCGGAGAAGAAGCCCCGGCUAACUUCGUGCCAGCAGCCGCGGUAAUACGAAGGGGGCUAGCGUUGUUCGGAUUUACUGGGCGUAAAGCGCACGUAGGCGGACUAUUAAGUCAGGGGUGAAAUCCCGGGGCUCAACCCCGGAACUGCCUUUGAUACUGGUAGUCUUGAGUUCGAGAGAGGUGAGUGGAAUUCCGAGUGUAGAGGUGAAAUUCGUAGAUAUUCGGAGGAACACCAGUGGCGAAGGCGGCUCACUGGCUCGAUACUGACGCUGAGGUGCGAAAGCGUGGGGAGCAAACAGGAUUAGAAACCCCAGUAGUCCC
rnacentral:rRNA from 1 species